UUUAGAAAAAGUUCACCCAAGGAUGAUAAACCGAGUCCUCCUCCUGAUGAUAUAAAGAGGAGGACUUUAUAUCAUCAGGAGGAGGAGGAGGAGGACUUUAUAUCAUCAGGAGGAGGAGAGGAGGACUUUAUAUCAUCAGGAGGAGGAGAGGAGGACUUUAUAUCAUCAGGAGGAGGAGAGGAGGACUUUAUAUCAUCAGGAGGAGAGGAGGACUUUAUAUCAUCAGGAGGAGGAGAGGAGGACUUUAUAUCAUCAGGAGGAGGAGAGGAGGACUUUAUAUCAUCAGGAGGAGAGGAGGACUUUAUAUCAUCAGGAGGAGGAGAGGAGGACUUUAUAUCAUCAGGAGGAGAGGAGGACUUCAUAUCAUCAGGAGGAGGAGAGGAGGACUUUAUAUCAUCAGGAGGAGGAGAGGAGGACUUUAUAUCAUCAGGAGGAGGAGAGGAGGACUUUAUAUCAUCAGGAGGAGGAGAGGAGGACUUUAUAUCAUCAGGAGGAGGAGAGGAGGACUUUAUAUCAUCAGGAGGAGAGGAGGACUUGAUAUCAUCAGGAGGAGGAGAGGAGGACUUUAUAUCAUCAGGAGGAGGAGGAGGACUUUAUAUCAUCAGGAGGAGGAGAGGAGGACUUUAUAUCAUCAGGAGGAGGAGAGGAGACUUUAUAUCAUCAGGAGGAGGAGAGGAGGACUUUAUAUCAUCAGGAGGAGGAGAGGAGGACUUUAUAUCAUCAGGAGGAGGAGAGGAGGACUUUAUAUCAUCAGGAGGAGGAGAGGAGGACUUUAUAUCAUCAGGAGGAGGAGAGGAGGACUUUAUAUCAUCAGGAGGAGAGGAGGACUUUAUAUCAUCAGGAGGAGGAGAGGAGGACUUUAUAUCAUCAGGAGGAGGAGAGGAGGACUUUAUAUCAUCAGGAGGAGGAGAGGAGGACUUUAUAUCAUCAGGAGGAGGAGAGGAGGACUUUAUAUCAUCAGGAGGAGGAGAGGAGGACUUUAUAUCAUCAGGAGGAGGAGAGGAGGACUUGAUAUCAUCAGGAGGAGGAGAGGAGGACUUUAUAUCAUCAGGAGGAGGAGAGGAGGACUUUAUAUCAUCAGGAGGAGGAGAGGAGGACUUUAUAUCAUCAGGAGGAGAGGAGGACUUUAUAUCAUCAGGAGGAGGAGAGGAGGACUUUAUAUCAGGAGGGAGGAAGGAGGACUUUAUAUCAUCAGGAGGAGAGGAGGACUUUAUAUCAUCAGGAGGAGGAGAGGAGGACUUUAUAUCAUCAGGAGGAGGAGAGGAGGACUUUAUAUCAUCAGGAGGAGGAGAGGAGGACUUUUAUAUCAUCAGGAGGAGAGGAGGACUUUAUAUCAUCAGGAGGAGGAGAGGAGGACUUUAUAGCAUCAGGAGGAGGAGAGGAGGACUUUAUAUCAUCAGGAGGAGGAGAGGAGGACUUUAUAUCAUCAGGAGGAGAGGAGGACUUUAUAUCAUCAGGAGGAGAGGAGGACUUUAUAUCAUCAGGAGGAGAGGAGGACUUUAUAUCAUCAGGAGGAGGAGAGGAGGACUUUAUAUCAUCCGGAGGAGAGGAGGACUUUAUAUCAUCAGGAGGAGGAGAGGAGGACUUUAUAUCAUCAGGAGGAGGAGAGGAGGACUUUAUAUCAUCAGGAGGAGGAGAGAGGACUUUAUAUCAUCAGGAGGAGAGAGGAGGACUUUAUAUCAUCAGGAGGACUUAAUCAUCAGGAGGGAGAGGAGGACUUUAUAUCAUCAGGAGGAGGAGAGGAGGACUUUAUAUCAUCAGGAGGAGGAGAGGAGGACUUUAUAUCAUCAGGAGGAGAGAGGAGGACUUUAUAUCAUCAGGAGGAGGAGAGGAGGACUUUAUAUCCUCAGGAGGAGGAGAGGAGGACUUUAUAUCAUCAGGAGGAGGAGAGGAGGACUUUAUAUCAUCAGGAGGAGAGGAGGACUUUAUAUCAUCAGGAGGAGGAGAGGAGGACUUUAUAUCCUCAGGAGGAGAGGAGGACUUUAUAUCAUCAGGAGGAAGAGGAGGACUUUAUAUCAUCAGGAGGAGAGGAGGACUUUAUAUCAUCAGGAGGAGGAGAGGAGGACUUUAUAUCAUCAGGAGGAGGAGAGGAGGACUUUAUAUCAUCAGGAGGAGGAGAGGAGGACUUUAUAUCAUCAGGAGGAGAGGAGGACUUUAUAUCAUCAGGAGGAGAGGAGGACUUAUAUCCUCAGGAGGAGGAGAGGAGGACUUUAUAUCAUCAGGAGGAGGAGAGGAGGACUUUAUAUCAUCAGGAGGAGAGGAGGACUUUAUAUCAUCAGGAGGAGGAGAGGAGGACUUUAUAUCAUCAGGAGGAGAGGAGGACUUUAUAUCAUCAGGAGGAGGAGAGGAGGACUUUAUAUCAUCAGGAGGAGGAGAGGAGGACUUUAUAUCAUCAGGAGGAGAGGAGGACUUUAUAUCAUCAGGAGGAGGAGAGGAGGACUUUAUAUCAUCAGGAGGAGGAGAGGAGGACUUUAUAUCAUCAGGAGGAGAGGAGGACUUUAUAUCAUCAGGAGGAGAGGAGGACUUUAUAUCCUCAGGAGGAGGAGAGGAGGACUUUAUAUCAUCAGGAGGAGAGGAGGACUUUAUAUCAUCAGGAGGAGGAGAGGAGGACUUUAUAUCAUCAGGAGGAGGAGAGGAGGACUUUAUAUCAUCAGGAGGAGAGGAGGACUUUAUAUCAUCAGGAGGAGAGGAGGACUUUAUAUCCUCAGGAGGAGGAGAGGAGGACUUUAUAUCAUCAGGAGGAGAGGAGGACUUUAUAUCAUCAGGAGGAGAGGAGGACUUUAUAUCAUCAGGAGGAGGAGAGGAGACUUUAUAUCAUCAGGAGGAGGAGAGGAGGACUUUAUAUCAUCAGGAGGAGGAGAGGAGGACUUUAUAUCAUCAGGAGGAGAGGAGGACUUUAUAUCAUCAGGAGGAGAGGAGGACUUUAUAUCAUCAGGAGGAGAGGAGGACUUUAUAUCAUCAGGAGGAGGAGAGGAGGACUUUAUAUCAUCAGGAGGAGGAGAGGAGGACUUUAUAUCAUCAGGAGGAGGAGAGGAGGACUUUAUAUCAUCAGGAGGAGGAGAGGAGGACUUUAUAUCAUCAGGAGGAGGAGAGGAGGACUUUAUAUCAUCAGGAGGAGGAGAGGAGGACUUUAUAUUCAUCAGGAGGAGGAGAGGAGGACUUUCUAUCAUCAGGAGGAGAGGAGGACUUUAUAUCAUCAGGGAGGAGAGGAGACUUUAUAUCCUCAGGAGGAGAGGGGACUUUGAUAUCAUCAGGAGGAGAGGAGGACUUUAUAUCAUCAGGAGGAGGAGAGGAGGACUUGAUAUCAUCAGGAGGAGAGGAGGACUUGAUAUCAUCAGGAGGAGAGGAGGACUUUAUAUCAUCAGGAGGAGGAGAGGAGGACUUGAUAUCAUCAGGAGGAGGAGAGGAGGACUUUAUAUCAUCAGGAGGAGGAGAGGAGGACUGGGUUCAUCAUUCUUGGGAGAACUAUUCCUUUAA
rnacentral:lncRNA from 1 species